GUGAAGCAGAGCUGGAGAAGAGAGUAAAGUGCUGCCCCAUACGAGAGAGCAAGAGACAGGUGUGUAAGGUAGAGGGUACUCUGGGAGGCCAUAAGCUUUCCUAAAGAGAUGGGUUUUAAGGCACUUCUUAAAGGAUUGAAGACUAGGGGAGAGUCUGAUGGGGGUAGGCAGGCUAUUCCAUAGGAAGGGAGCCACCCGCGAGAAGUCCUGCAAGCGCGGGUUGGCUGUACGGGUGCGAGCAGCGGUCAGGAGGU
rnacentral:lncRNA from 1 species